rnacentral:lncRNA from 1 species
UGAAAAGAAAUUAUUUUGAAAGAAAAAGUGUUCAUUUACGCCGAUAUUUUUCAUCAUGCUCCAAUAUUUCUCUAUGGAUUCACUUAUUAUGAAAUGAGGAACGUCUAGUUCAAUUUUUAAUGUAAAAUGUGUAUUUAAAGGAAUGAAAUUUUGUGAAAGAAUUUGACAGUGACAUGUUUAUAGUCGAAAUGGGAAAGAAGCUUUUCCAUUCCAAUCCACAGCAAGGCGAUCCAUGUUGGCGAUAAAAUCCUGACGUGAUGCGGUGUCAAAAUCCACAUUUAUCAUGAUUGGUUUAAGGCCAUUCACUGGAGGAUGCCGAAAGCAGAACUCAAUGAUCCUGUCGUUCCCUUUGAUAUGUGCAUUUAAUUCUUGAUCAUUGUGAUCCGCUAACAAGCAAAGAAGGACGAUACCACCUCGACGCGUCCAUUCUGAUGUCCACUGUUUAAAAUCAUUCUUUGUGGACUGGGAAAGAUGGGCAUUAUAAUACCUGUCAUCUACAACAUCCCCCAAACUGCCUGGCGGUGGCUUCGUUUGAACUGCGUUGCAAAAGGUUCUCAUAUCUGGUGAUGAAGACCGAUUGUGUAUGACAACCAGGCGUAUUCCAUCAACUGAUGUAUCACUGGUAGACUGAGAUUGACCCAUUGCUGGUUAAAAGAAUGCAUUGGUUGUUAGCCUUAUCAAAAAAGAUACCUUGGGUUAUCAAGACUGCGAAGGAUUCUUUGAUUCAUCAAAGUUCUGUCGCGGAGAAGUUUACAAAAGUACUGGCUGUUGUCUGUGGGGCAAGUUACAUUACAAAGACAACCCAUCGUAAAAUAACUGAUAAAGUUAACUACUGCUAAUUACUCCUGUCAAAGAACUCCUGGAAAAGAAAAAUUGAAUCUAACGAUCAAGCAUUUCCAAUGAUGACUUCGGAGUAACGAGAGAGAUACCAAAUAUUGAUCAAAUACAUCAAAUAUCAAUGGAUAUCUUAGUCAAAUCUGCCAGAAAGCUUGGUUCAUAAGCAUUCUAACACAUCCAUAAGCCGCCUGGUUGACGGCUAUUUCAGUCAGAUCUGUCAAAACAUCCAGUUGAUACUCAGUCAGUAAAUCAGGAUGUCAAGUAUUGACUUAACAAGACCAGCAGGCGCUGAAAAGCACCUGCUCUUCUGCAAAUUUCUCGAAAAAUUUCAAGUCACAGAAACCCCAUUUAACGGACACUAUUUAGAAUUCUGAUAUGUGGUAAAUGCUGUAGAGGAAAAUGGAAAAGAUUUAGAUGGAAAGAAUUCUACGUAUGCAUGAGUGCAUUUUCCAUAAUAAUAAGUAGUAAUAAUAUUCCUCCUUGAACAAUUAUCCUCCGAGUUUAAAAUAACCACUGUUUCCGUCAUACUAAAUCUAUUUGACCUGCACUUAUCAAGACGUCUUGUUUGUGUCUAAUUAAUCACGCUGAACAUUUUCUACGCUUCUGUGUGUAUGGAGUGAUCGUGGUUGUCAGUUUUCGUUAUAGUGCGUUAAUUAUGUUAAUUUCAUGGUCAUGACCCCCGCGGGGGGUCGUAUCAUCGUUCAUCUAAUAUCAUUCAACGACACUCAACAUCGUUGACUAUUGUCGAACAUUCUUCAACAUCCCUCAACAUCCUCUAACCUCGUUCACAACUGUUCAGCAUCAUUCAC